rnacentral:lncRNA from 1 species
AUACUAUAUUUUUUUGAAUUAUCAGCUUAGGUUGGCCAUCAUCAAGGUUGGACCGGAUCCAACUUCCCCGUGCGUCGGCUUUAUCCAAGGAAAGAAUUUCUUACCCAUAACACAAGUGUUUCAUGGGAAAUAUGAUUUAAGACUAACAAGCCAGUUGAUGAGAAACAGGCAAGCUAGAACAAUACGAUCCAUCAACAAAACACAGGAG